UACGUAGGGUGCGAGCGUUAAUCGGAAUUACUGGGCGUAAAGCGUGCGCAGGCGGUCUGUUAAGACCGAUGUGAAAUCCCCGGGCUUAACCUGGGAACUGCAUUGGUGACUGGCAGGCUUUGAGUGUGGCAGAGGGAGGUAGAAUUCCACGUGUAGCAGUGAAAUGCGUAGAGAUGUGGAGGAAUACCGAUGGCGAAGGCAGCCCCCUGGGAUAACACUGACGCUCAUGCACGAAAGCG
rnacentral:rRNA from 1 species